rnacentral:rRNA from 1 species
CACUCCUACGGGAGGCAGCAGUAGGGAAUCUUCCACAAUGGGUGCAAACCUGAUGGAGCAAUGCCGCGUGAGUGAAGAAGGUCUUCGGAUCGUAAAGCUCUGUUGUUAGAGAAGAACACGUGCUAGGUAACUACUAGCGCCUUGACGGUAUCUAACCAGAAAGUCACGGCUAACUACGUGCCAGCAGCCGCGGUAAUACGUAGGUGACAAGCGUUGUCCGGAUUUAUUGGGCGUAAAGGGAGCGCAGGCGGUCUGUUUAGUCUAAUGUGAAAGCCCACGGCUUAACCGUGGAACGGCAUUGGAAACUGACAGAAUUGAAUGUAGAAGAGGAAAAUGGAAUUCCAAGUGUAGCGGUGGAAUGCGUAGAUAUUUGGAGGAACACCAGUGGCGAAGGCGAUUUUCUGGUCUAACAUUGACGCUGAGGCUCGAAAGCGUGGGGAGCGAACAGGAUUAGAAACCCUAGUAGUCCCAUGAU